GAAAGCAUCAUGAAUCUGCAAGAGAACAGAGAGGCCCAGAGGAGACGUCCUGCCCAGGAGGUGAGGCAUAGUUCAGACUGUUCUGUAAAGAAACCACAGACAUCCAGCCUGGCAGAGCACAAUUCCCUUGAUUCUUUAACUUUGGUACGAGUCAAUAGACAAUGUCCACCAACAUCUGGAAUGAGUAAUAAAUUUGAAGAGUUUGGACUUCAAAGGAGAAGAGAGAUGACUGAGUAA
rnacentral:lncRNA from 1 species